rnacentral:rRNA from 1 species
CCUACGGGUGGCAGCAGUCGAGAAUCAUUCACAAUGGGGGAAACCCUGAUGGUGCGACGCCGCGUGGGGGAAUGAAGGUCUUCGGAUUGUAAACCCCUGUCAUGUGGGAGCAAAUUAAAAAGAUAGUACCACAAGAGGAAGAGACGGCUAACUCUGUUCCAGCAGCCGCGGUAAUACAGAGGUCUCAAGCGUUGUUCGGAAUCACUGGGCGUAAGGCGUGCGUAGGCUGUUUCGUAAGUCGUGUGUGAAAGUCGCGGGCUCAACCCGCGGACGGCACAUGAUACUGCGAGACUAGAGUAAUGGAGGGGGAACCGGAAUUCUCGGUGUAGCAGUGAAAUGCGUAGAUAUCGAGAGGAACACUCGUGGCGAAGGCGGGUUCCUGGACAUUAACUGACGCUGAGGCACGAAGGCCAGGGGAGCGAAAGGGAUUAGAUACCCUUGUAGUC